rnacentral:lncRNA from 1 species
AAGAAACAAAGUAUUCAAACAAAGCGGCAAAUGAAGAUACUUGAUCAACACGCGACGAUUUGAAUUCUAUCUUUUCGAAAUUGAAACAAUAACAGAUCAGAUUCAACGGAUGAUGAAAUGAGAUAAUCGAAUCCUGAUCUAUGAAUCUAACAACAGAUCGAGUCACACAAUCACAAGAAACUUUCGGAUCAAGUAAAACGAUAACGUAAUCGACAAGAAUGUGAAAAGGUUUUUGUUCAAAACUUGAUCGAAAUUCUUAGAUCUAUCAAUAUGAGAUACGAAACAAUCAGAUCUAGCAAUCCUGAUAGUGAAACAAGCAGAUCAAAUGAGAAUAAACACACAAGAACCGAUUGAUCAACAAAAUAUGAAUCGACAAAGAGUAGAUCUUAAGAAAUCGCAAAAGAGAAAUCGAAACUCCCCUUCCAGAGUGCUCUG